GUUCUGGCCCAAGCUGUCUCUAGAGAAAGACAAGACUGUGCUAUUCCUUGCUGGAUUAGUGGUCGACAUCAGGAGGAGGAAGGCUGGCCACCACUGGGCAGCGCUGAAGGGCAGUGCCCACACAGCAUGGAUUCUAAGUGAUCAAAGGCAGAAGAUUUAUACCAGAUAAAGCCAUUUGGAUUGCUGGUCUAAAAUUCAA